GCCCGGCACUCUCACAAAGGUCCGCGGCGGAGCACGUGUUUCGGGCCCGAGCGGGCGGGGGGCCCCACAGCGCGUCCCGACCCCUAGCCGGCCGCGCGGGCUCGAUCCCUGGGUCAGGGCGGGGACGGCACGAGGCUGGGGCGGGAGGACGGAGGACCCCGCCUCGCGACUGGGGAAAUGGCGUCUGGCGGCGAGAUAAUGGCGGCCGGGGCGGGAGCACGCGGGCGGGGCCGGCCCGGCUGCCUGGCUUAACCCUGACGUGCCGCUCGUCCCGCCUGCAGCCCUAGGCGGCGUCGCCGCAGCCGCUCCCGGAGCCGGAGCCGUGCCCGGUCCCGCAGCCGGUCUCGCUACAGCCGCUCCAAGUCUCGAUCCCGCACCCGCUCCCGGUCUCGAUCGACCUCCAAGUCCAGAUCUGCGCGAAGAUCCAAAUCCAAGUCGUCGUCGGUCUCCAGAUCUCGCUCGCGGUCCAGGUCCCGGUCUAGAUCCAGGAGUCCUCCCCCCGUGUCCAAGAGGGAAUCCAAGUCCAGGUCGCGGUCCAAGAGUCCCCCGAAGUCUCCAGAAGAGGAAGGAGCGGUGUCCUCUUAAGAAAAUGCUGCGGUCUCCUGUUUGAUAAAAGAAUAUUGGCCAGUAUUGCAGAUUUUAACUGAUUUGGCUGAUCCUCCAGGGACCAGUUUCUGUGGGCGUGUAUUGGAGCAGGUUUGUCUUUAAAUGUUAAAGAUGCACUAUCCUCUUAGAGAAAAGCAAUCAGCUCAACUAUUGUUGUGCUGACUGGGACUUCAUUUUCUAAUGGAUGUGGCAAACGAAUUGCAAUAAGAAGCUAUGAACUUUUGGAACCCCAAAAGAAAGUUUACAGGUAUCGCUUUGGGUGGGGAAAGGAUAGUGUGUCUUUAACUCUCAAAUUGUUUGGUCCUAUUUUUUAAAAGGAAAGGGCCCUAAGUAGCUCAGAUAUUAAAGCACUAGUUAUUCUUGAUUGUCAAAUGUUUUAUUUGAAAACAAUUUAUCUUAAAAUAUAAACUGAUUACCUGAUUUCAAGUUUUUGUUUGGAUACAGCCCUCUUUAUUUUUACUUUUCUUCCCCCUCCCCUUCCCCUCCCCUUGUUUUUCCUUGGGUAUUUGGCCAAGAAUACAAAAAUUCAAGUUUACAAAUACUGAUGUAGCCCUUGAACAUUUCCUAUUUGGGCCUUUAAAAAAAACCGAUAAUGGCUGGGUGGAACCUUAUUGUAACCUAUUCGUUUCACCAGAGCCUUAGUAAGUACAUGCCCGAAACUGAAACCAUGUGCCCUUAUGUACUUUGUCAGCGAUGUAAGGUAAGCUGAAUGUAUUUCUUUUCACACCUAGAUGUGUCGGCAAGCAACUUAAUGGAGGACUUAGAGGAAAAGGACCACAUACUGAGUCCAUGGAAGAGUUCUUGGAACAAGCAACUGGCUAUUGAAAAGGUUAUUUUGUAACAUUUGUCUAACUUUUUACUUGUUUUAAGCUUUGCCUCAGGUGGCAAGCUUCAUUUUAUGUGCCAUUUUGUUGCUGUUAUUCAAAUUUCUUGUAAUUUAGUGAGGUGAACGACUUCAGAUUUCAUUAUUGGAUUGGAUAUUUGAGGUAAAAUUUCGUUUUUGUUUAUAUAGUGCUGACUUUUUUUGUUUGAAAUUAAACAGAUUGGUAACCUAAUUUGUGGCCUCCUGACUUUUAAGGAAACAUGUGCAGCCAUUACACAGCCUAAAGCUGUCAAGAGAUUGACUCAACAUUGCCUUCAUUCCUUUAAAAUUAAAAACCUACAAAAGUUGG